rnacentral:rRNA from 1 species
GACGGAGGAUGCAAGUGUUAUCCGGAAUCACUGGGCGUAAAGCGUCUGUAGGUGGUCAAAUAAGUCAACUGUUAAAUCUUGAGGCUUAACCUCAAAAUCGCAGUCGAAACUAUUAGACUAGAGUAUAGUAGGGGUAAAGGGAAUUUCCAGUGGAGCGGUGAAAUGCGUAGAGAUUAGGAAAGACACCGAUGGCGAAGGCACUUUACUGGGCUAUUACUAACACUCAGAGACGAAAGCUAGGGUAGCAAAUGGG